rnacentral:tRNA from 1 species
GCGAGUGUAGUUUAAUGGUAGAACUUCAGCCUUCCAAGCUGAAUACGAGGGUUCGAUUCCCUUCACUCGCACCA